GGGGUUCACGCCGCCCUGUGUAUAGAGGGGAAAUAAAAGCCGUUCGCUUCCUUCAUUCCCACCAUUUUGAAAGCGCAGGCGUGCGGCUCGUGAAGGUCAGAGCAUUGUCUCAGUACAGCAAAAGAAUGAAACAGUGUCCUCACAUGGAUGUGAUUCAAAAGGACAUCGUCGUCCUCUGACCUGGAGGCUUUACUGAGCUCUUUACGGUCCAUAAAACCACUGAAUCUGAGCAUCACUCUGAAUUCCAGUUAUCCCAGUAUGGAGAGUUAUAGUGGUUCCUUCCACUUCCUGCAGUGUGACCGUCUCGUCUCCAGCUGCACACAGUAAACCUGCAGCACAGCUUCAGCUUCAGAUUAAUCAUUUCACUCACAAUCAUAAUCACACACAGUCCAUUAAAACUAUACCGUGCUCCAGAUUAAUGCUGUUUUCAACUACAAAAAUAACAUACUUCUGCAAAUCUGACACAUUGCAUGUCCAAACGUAUGUGGACACCUGACCAUCACACCCCAUAUGUCCAAUUUAUUAGGAACACCUGUACAUACUGCCGUUAUCUAUCAGCAGCACAAUACAAAACAUCAUGCAGUUAAGUCAAGUUCUACCAGAAGGGCUGGGUUGAGUAUUUCAGAAACUUGUUGUGAAUGGUGAUUAUUUGAGUUACUAUAGACGUCCUGUCAGAUCAGACCAGUCUGGUUAUUCUCCUCUGAUCUCUCUCAUCAACAAGGUGUUUCAGCCUGCAGAUCCUCCACAACACGGGAUGUUUUUUGUUUUUCGCACCAUUCUGUAUAAACUCUAGAGACUGUUGUGUGUGAAAAUCCCAGAUCAGCACUUUCUGAAAUACUCAAACCAGCUCAACUGGUACCAACAACCACAACCAUGCCACAGUUAAAGUCACAGAGACCAUUCUGAUGUUUGAAGUGAACAUUAACUGAAGUUCUUCACCUGUAUCUGCAUUAUUAGCUGAUUAGAAAACUGCAUAAAUGUCCAGGUGUACUGGUGUUCCUAAUAAAGCGGACAGUGAGUGUAUAUGUAAAUAACUUUGGAGAAAUUGGGAUAUAUUUAAAUAAAAUGCACAGAAUUGUCCAGUACACCUUCUGUGCAUUUAAUCUCUGCCUCUAAAAAUUAAGGUACAUGAAUGGUCCUUAAGUUAAUUGUGUUUUUAAAAUAAAGUUUAGGAUAAAAUUCACAUUCACAGAAUAACACAAGGGAUAGAAGCUAUAGGAAUAACAGAUGUACUGUAGAGAGAAGAUCCCCAGAGACAAUGAAAAGUACUGUUUAGUGUUUAUUUGUGAGAGUUUAAUAAAAGGAAAUAAACUAA